CCUACGGGUGGCAGCAGUGGGGAAUAUUGCACAAUGGGGGAAACCCUGAUGCAGCGACGCCGCGUGAGCGAUGAAGGCCUUCGGGUUGUAAACCGCUUUUGUACGGAACGAAACGGCCUUUUCUAAUAAAGAGGGCUAAUGACGGUACCGUAAGAAUAAGCACCGGCUAACUACGUGCCAGCAGCCGCGGUAAUACGUAGGGUGCAAGCGUUAAUCGGAAUUACUGGGCGUAAAGCGUGCGCAGGCGGUGAUGUAAGACAGUUGUGAAAUCCCCGGGCUCAACCUGGGAACUGCAUCUGUGACUGCAUCGCUGGAGUACGGCAGAGGGGGAUGGAAUUCCGCGUGUAUCAGUGAAAUGCGUAGAUAUGCGGAGGAACACCGAUGGCGAAGGCAAUCCCCUGGGCCUGUACUGACGCUCAUGCACGAAAGCGUGAGGAGCAAACAGGAUUAGAUACCCUGGUAGUC
rnacentral:rRNA from 1 species